rnacentral:rRNA from 1 species
CACGCUGUAAACGAUGACGACUGGGUGUUGCAGGUAUUGACCCCUGCGGUGCCGAAGCCAACGCGUUAAGUCGUCCGCCUGGGAAGUACGGCCGCAAGGCUAAAACUCAAAGGAAUUGACGGGGGCCCGCACAAGCGGUGGAGCAUGUGGUUUAAUUCGACGCAACGCGAAGAACCUUACCCGGGCUCGAAAAUGCACGAAGUCGCCUGAAAGGGGGAUGUGCCCGCAAGGGAGCGUGUAUCAGGUGC